AAGAUUAAAGAUUUUAUUAGGAUUUUAUAAGGAUUUGAUUAAGAUUUAAGAUUUCAUUAGAAUUUAGUCUAAGAUUAGGAUUUAGGAUUUGAUUAGAAUUUAUUUAGAAUUCGUCUAAGAUUUUUUUAAAAAAAAUUAGAGUUUUAUUUCAAUUUGAUUAGAAUUUAAGGUUUUAUUAAAAUUUGGUUUAGAAUUAGGAUUUAGGAUUUGAUUACGAUUUGAUUACGAUUUGAUUAGGAUUUGAUUAGGAUUUUAUUAGGCUUUGAUUUAAGAUUUUGUUAAGAUUGAUUUAAGAUUGGUUUAAUAUUUGUUGAAGAUUAUAUUAGAAUUUCUAUUAUUUAUAUUUAUUUAAGAUUACUUUAAUAUUUUUUAAAUAUUUUUUAUUAUAUAUUUUUUUA
rnacentral:lncRNA from 1 species